rfam:Pteropus alecto contig61741, whole genome shotgun sequence.
ACCCACUAGGCCAUGCCACCCUGAACAAGCCCGAUCCCGUCUGAUCUCGGAAGCUAAGCAGGGUCAGGCCUGGUUAGUACUUGGAUGGGAGACCACCUAGGAAGACCAGGCGCUGUAGGCA